rnacentral:tRNA from 2 species
AGCAGAAUAGAGCAAACGGUAGUUCGCCAGGCUCAUGACCUGGAGGUUAUAGGUUCGAGUCCUGUUUCUGCUA